GUUAAAAUGAAGUAUUAUUUUUAAUUCAGCACAGGACACGCUCAUUAGUUUUGAGUUAAUAUCAAUUUGAAUACAAACGUUUGAGAAAUCGUGAGGAACUUAAUUUUAGUAAGACUUGCUAAUUUGCAGACGCAAUGAAUUUUAAUCGGAUUUAAAUUAAAUAGCUGGAUUAUAAAGAGUGUUUUGAAAGCUAAAUCAUGUACAAAGACUUAUACAGAUGAUUAGAAAUGAGGAAAUAAUCUUAAACGUGUUGUAUUGAAAAGAUCGGGUUGCAUGCUAAAGAAACUAUAUCGAAAUGCGACCAGCCUAGGAUAUGUCAACAGGGUACAGCUGUUGCCCCCCUUUGGUUGAUGUUAAACUAAUGAUAAGCAGUAAAAAUUAUACAUUAAAGAUGGAUAUAUGCAGACAGCACGGAAGCUUCUGAUCUGUAGGUCUCAACGGGCGACCUUUUAGAAGGCCGUCUUUGGUUGUCCUGCAUGAACCAGAAGCAAAGCUGGGUGCUUUUGGAGUUGGGCAAAUCUCGGACUUUCCAAUGCAGUUGUCUUAGUUAUCUAAUGGUGUAUAUCAACAUUCUCCCACAAAUAAUAGAAAUGGACUUCUGUUGUAAAAUGUAUCUUACGCAAUCAUGGGCCGAAUGCUUAUUCUCCGACUAAUGUGUUUAGAUGCUUAAGAAACACAAUCGGCCAAUACAAUCCUAAAAUCUGAAAACCCGGCGUCACAGUUAUCCCCUUUCUGCUGAUUCGACGGCUUGCAGUUUGAGGACAAGCAUGUAUUGGUGAAACAAAAUCAAGACAAGGAUCAGAUGGAACAGAGUUCUACAAGUUAACAUAAUUGCGGUAAUAUUGAACACCAUUUAUCGAUCAAUCAAUGCGGCUUCAUGGUUGUCUCUCUUUUCCUGAAUUCGUUGAUGACUCAGAAGAUUGAAGAUGUUCAGAAAAUUCGUCAUACACUGAAACUCUAAACUUGAGAUCACCUGAGGUACUUCCUGGUAGGAUGUGGUCCGGAGUUGCCAGGAUAUCAGUUUAAACCCCCUAUUUAAGAUAGAUACGGGCAGACAACAUUGUUUCCCUGAUCUGAUGGUCACAAGGUGCGCUUUUUGGCAUCAUGCGGUCCUGGUUUGCCCGGCAUGAUCCGGCGGAAGCAAAGGUAGAUGUCGUCUGCUAUUAUAACUUACAGUCAUGCUCGGAUAUUAUUGCAAGACAGAGAGAUAUUCCUAUACGAACAGAUGACCCGCACUGAAUCCCUGAUAUUGAGGUCAAAAGAAGCAUUUCAUGGCAGGAUGUCGUUCUAUGUUACCCUGCAUUUACCAGAAAUGAAGAUAGAUGGCUAGAUAUACUUAUACGACCCGCGCUGAAUCCAAGAUAUUGAGAUCACAAGAGAUGCAGAUAGAUGGCUAGAUAUGACUUAACGAGCAGAAGACCUACACUCAAUCCCUGAUAUUGAGAUCACAAGAGGAAUUUCAUGGCAGGAUGUUGUUCUAGGAUGUCCGGCAUUCACAAGAAAUGCAGAUAGAUGGCUAGAUUGGUCAGAGCUUGACACCAUACAGAUACACCUGAAGAGAUAUUGAUAUAUUAUGCCUAAACGAGCAGACGACCCACACUGAAUCCCUGAUAUUGAGGUCAGAAGAGGCCUUUCUAUGGUGCCCUGAAUUCACCAGAAAUGCAGAUAGAUGGAUAUACCUAUACGACCAGCACUGAAUCCAAGAUAUUGAAAUCAAAAGAGGCAUUUCCCUGCAGGAUGUUGUUCUAUGCUGGCCGGCAUUCAAAAGCUACAUGGCUAGAUCGCUAUUUGAACAGACGACCCACACUCAAUUCCUGAAAUUGAGGUCACCAGAGGCAUUUCAUGGCAGGAUGUUGUUUCAGGAUGUUGGUAUUCAACAAAGAUGUAUAGAGAUGACCGGAUUGCCUAUACGAGCAGACGACCCACACUCAAUUCCUGAUAUUGAGGUCACCAGAGGCAUUUCAUGGCAGGAUGUUGUUCCAGAAUGUUCGGCAUUCAACAGAUAUGCAGAUAGAUGACCGGUUAGAGGAAUAUAAGCAGACUUCCCAAACUAAGUCCCUGAUGUGGAGGUCACAUGGGGCUCUUCCUGGCAGGAUAUAGUAAUUAGAUGUCCGGCGAAGACAAGACUAACAUGUCGAUAGCUAGAUACAUGUGAUGCAUUUUGGCAACGACCAAUUUCAAAAAAGUUGACUUUAAUUUGAAGCUUUUAUUGGCGUAUCAAGUUGACAAUUACAAGAAUAUGUACAUACGAUCAUAAAACAGAGUGAUGCAUUUAACAUGUGUGUCGAUUCAUUACGUUAUAUGUUACAUCUGCCCAUGGAUGAAAAGCUGAUUAAUCGCAUUUAAAGCAAUUGCAAAUAAUAAAGUGUGUUCCAUUUUUCUCUGGUCUCAAUUCAGUCAUUAGCAAUACAUGUAUAACUUUGUUUAUAUGGAAAAUCAUGUGUUUUAGGUAUACACAUUUGUUACUUCUUUAUCUUUAUUUCUGAAGUACUGUAUUGUUUACGAAAUUUCGGGUAAGCCGACUUCCAUGGCGGAAAACG